rnacentral:rRNA from 1 species
AACGCUAGCUACAGGCUUAACACAUGCAAGUCGAGGGGCAGCAUGAAUAUUGGCUUGCCAAUAUUUGAUGGCGACCGGCGCACGGGUGAGUAACACGUAUCCAACCUUCCGGUUACUCGGGGAUAGGCUUUCGAAAGAAAGAUUAAUACCCGAUGUUGCGUAUCUUUCUCCUGAAAGAUACGCCAAAGGAUUCCGGUAACCGAUGGGGAUGCGUUCCAUUAGGCAGUUGGCGGGGUAACGGCCCACCAAACCUUCGAUGGAUAGGGGUUCUGAGAGGAAGGUCCCCCACAUUGGAACUGAGACACGGUCCAAACUCCUACGGGAGGCAGCAGUGAGGAAUAUUGGUCAAUGGACGGAAGUCUGAACCAGCCAAGUAGCGUGAAGGAUGACUGCCCUCUGGGUUGUAAACUUCUUUUAUACGGGAAUAACAUGAGGUACGCGUACCUUAUUGCAUGUACCGUUAUGAAUAAGCAUCGGCUAACUCCGUGCCAGCAGCCGCGGUAAUACGGAGGAUGCGAGCGUUAUCCGGAUUUAUUGGGUUUAAAGGGAGCGUAGGUGGGAUAUUAAGUCAGCUGUGAAAGUUUGGGGCUCAACCUUAAAAUUGCAGUUGAUACUGGUUUCCUUGAGAACGGUACAGGUGGGCGGAAUUCGUGGUGUAGCGGUGAAAUGCUUAGAUAUCACGAAGAACUCCGAUUG